AAAGGGGUUCCAUACCCGAUUUCAGUCCUUUUCCCUUCCUCCCGCUUACUGAGUUGUGAGGUCCGACAGGAGACGUCUAUUAUCAACCUUUAUAAGCAUUGAACAAACACAAAGCCAUAGUUCUGUUUAUCAAACAACGCACAAAUACAUCAGUGUCUUCUCACAAAAUGACAUCAACAAAUGCCACAAACAAGCCAUCUUGGGGUCUCCUUGUGUCAUCGGGAGACUUUCUGAAGCAUCCAAGGUCAAAUCAAUUUAAAUUCACUCAGCUUAAAAAAACAACUUGCUCCAAAGGACGUUGAAGCCAGAAAAAUCCCCCCACCUACUGAUGAAGUGUUUAAGUUUCAGGGGUCCAGUCAAGACAGCUGAGUAGGUCUGUCCCGGAUUCAUCUGAAACACAAGUCCUCGACUCUACUGCAGCUUCACCUUGCAAUUGUGUGUAAAGUCAUGUGGUGUCUUUAGGCUGAUCCCACCUCCUGAUGUUUGCUGUUAAGUGGCGUUGACAGCUUUAAGUCACUUCAGGUGGCUAAAAGUCAGGACUUUGGUCUGACGUGAUCUCAGUCCUCUACUGAUCCGCUGUGAAUCCCUCCUGCUUGACCAACAAAACUUGACUCAGAAGGUUUUUGACAGACGGUACAACAGCUGUUUCAGGGUCAACUGUGAGCUGCUUUUGCAGCAUUUAGGUUUCAAGUUAUUGUGACCAUUUUGCUGUUUAUUUUUACUCCUGGCUUUAUCUAGUGUUUUUUUAAAUUUGUCAAUUUCUGAAUAUCUGCAUGUUUAAAUUGUUUCAAUAAAGCUUUUUU